rnacentral:rRNA from 1 species
ACGCUCGACACCUACGGGAGCAGCAGUUAGGAAUAUUGGGCAAUGGAGGAAACUCUGACCCAGCAACGCCGCGUGAAGGAAGAAGGUUUUCGGAUUGUAAACUUCUGAUCUAGGGGAAGAAGGAAGUGACGGUACCCUAGGAGAAAGCCACGGCUAACUACGUGUCAGCAGACGCGGUAAUCUGAGCGGNUGGCAAGGC